UCUAAGAAAUAUCUCGGGGUUUUUACCGAGAAAUAACUCGGUAAUCAACGUCCAGACUUUUUUGUCGGCAUUUUUUUACCGACAAUUUAAAUCGGGAAAACAGUGGUAAUCCGAAUACUAUUGUCGAUUUACCUUUAUUUUCCCAAAAUUUGGGGGGUGUAUGCACCCCCUUCAUUCUCAAGGUCCAGACGUCUGGUUUCCCCCUUCUACCCCAACUGUAUUCUUGUAUUUUCAAGGUCUGUCUGUCUAAAUGUGCGCAGACGUCCUUCAUCAUCAUGCAGUACUUUGUAAUAUCAUAAACGGUUAAGUCAUUAUUUUAAUUGUUAUUGAAUAACAUUAACUUAAAAAUUUUUAUUU